GGUUUCGUUUCUUGCAAACACCUUGCAAUGUAACCCGCUGGACGUUUUGUUACUGAAGCCGACGCCGUUCGAGUACUCCUCAGUUACAGGCCAGGGCCCAUCUUGUGGUCAUUGUAUAGGGCAGGUUGCCCGGGAUCCAAUGCAAGAACCCUCGCUUUAUACAGUCAAAGCACUUUUCAUACUGGACAACGAUGACAACCGGCUGCUUGCAAAGUACUAUGACCCUAAGCUGUAUCCUUCCAUGAAAGAACAGAGGAACUUUGAAAAGCAUGUCUUUAACAAAACACACAAAACUGACAGUGAGAUUGCAUUUUUGGAGGGGAUGACAAUUGUUUACAAAAGCAGCAUCGACCUCUUUUUGUACGUCGUGGGGAGCGCCAACGAAAACGAGCUGAUGUUGAUGACUGUACUCAACUGUCUGUCCGAGUCUCUGAACCUGAUGUUACGGAAGAACGUGGAGAAGCGCUCCCUGGUGGAAAAUCUGGAUGGUGUGUUCCUGGUGGUGGACGAGAUUGUGGAUGGAGGUGUGAUCCUGGAGAGUGAUCCUCAGCAGGUCAUCCAGAAGGUGAAUUUCAAGACCCUGUCCGAGCCCGCCUACGGCUUCAUUCUCUUUGACUAUAUCUCGGGUAGCGCUGAGCUGCAGGGCGAGCGGACCCAGAGCGCAUAGAGAGUGAGGCAGAGAGAGCGAGAAGGGGGGCGAAGAGAGAGAGCUCAGGGUGAUGAUAGCCCCCUGUCGGAGCAGAGCGUGGCACAGGUGUUGCAGUCGGCAAAGGAACAGAUCAAGUGGUCGAUACUGAAGUAGAGAAUCCAGGAGUCACUAAACCACAAUGCAGUGUGUUUAAUAGAAUUAGUCUUUGGAAAAUUAGUGAAAACAAUGACAUUUUCUUAAAGCUUCAGCUGGUUCCCUCGUCAGUGCGGCUCAAGGUCGAUUCCUGGCAGCGCGUUCUCAUUUGAAUUUUAUAUAUACCAAUUUCAACCAAUUAUUAAGAAAAUAUCAUUUUAAAGCAUGUUGCAUUUUGGUUACAUAUAGGAUUUUUUUUUUUUUUUUUUUUUUUUUUUUUGCGAUAUGCGUUAUAAUUAUUCCGUAAAUGCAGAUGUAUUGUUUUAUAUAAUUCAUUACAAAGGUAAAACACUUUCUUGUCGAGCCCAUCGGGAUACGCACAUUUCAACAUCGCAAAAGUCAGUCGGUCAAAUCGCGUGAAAGUCUCCAAAAGACACAUUGCGAUAUCGAAUUGCAUUUAGUCAGUAUAAAAACGUGUAACUAUUUUAAACGCAUUCAUUGGAGCAUAAUUGUAUAUGGAUGAUACAGAACACGCUGAUAAUGAUCGAUCUGUCCCGGGGGCUUGCAUGGGCUUACAUAUCAAGUGCAGUGUAUUAGUUUGUACAUUAAGCUAUGCUGAUGCAUUAUUAUUAUUAUUAUUGUGUAAGGACGUUGUUGUUACUGAAAAGAAAAAUCAAUACAAACAUUACCAAAGCCAUAUAAAAUUAUAUAUAUAUAUAUAUAUAUAUAUAUAUAUAUAUAUAUAUAUAUAUAUAUAUAUAUAUAUAUAUAUAUAUAUAUAUAUAUAUAUGAGCAAAACUCUGACGGCUUUAAUAGCCUGUGUUUGGAAUAUAAAUAGUUUCGUUUUUUUACCUCGGAACGUUCUCGCGUUCUGUUCCAUUGAGCGAAGUCGAGUUUUCGCAGAGUUCUAGAGUUUUUUCAGAACCCGUAGAAUUCUCAUAUAAUAUUGAGAGCAUGAGAUAGUACAGAAUAGGGAUAUGUGCGUUCAGCGUACAGCGAGCGCAUGUUUAAAAGUGAUUGAUAGUUUAAGAAUGUCUCACAGCACACUAACACAGGGGUGAGAAUGUUACACUGACAUAUUUACAGCGUUAAUAUCAUGUGUGUGCUAACAUCUGCAGCAGAGAUUAAAAUAUAUAAUCGUUUUUUUUGUUGCAGUUUUCUUAUAGUUAUGUUAGUGUUUCUGUUACAUUAGUGUACAGCACCGCCGCACAGAUGAAAACAGCAUUUAAAAAAACAAUUAAAAAGUAAUAAUAUUUGUGCAAAUGCCUAAAAAGCAGUAUGCAAUACGCCUUAGAGGUCGAAACACACAAUACCAUUACAAAUACAAUGUUUAUAACAGGAAUGUCAUCUUGAAUUAAUGCCUUUUUCGGAUUAAUUAAUGCAGUCCUACUUUAUUACAGGCGUGUGAUUUAGUGCGAAACAAGGUUUUCGUUUGAAAUUGUAUUUAUUUUUUAAUGCAAGCCAAGAUUGAUUCAAAUGUGAAUAAAUAUUGUAUUGAUAAUUAUUAAUAAAUACCAUAUUUAUUAUAAUAA